GGUGCUAAAAAUAAGUCAGUGGAAGAAAACGGGGCCUAUGUAUCUGUGAACCUCUGUAAACCUUUUGAUCAUGAUAUAUCUGCCAUUAAUCUAUUGUCCCAAUCAUUCUGCUACAAUCAUGUUUGAACCUUGUGUAUGUGUUAUCGUAAAUCUGCUGUCCCAAUCCUUGAACUUUGUUGUAUUUUGGCAAAAUGUUGAAAAAAAUAUUGUAUGGAUGUGUUAUCAUCAUGAUGUAUAAAUGCUGAAAAAAUGGUGUAUAAAUGUGUUAUCAUUCUGCUGUAUAAAUGCUAUAAAAAAUGUUGUACAAAUGUUGAAAUGUUGAAAAAAAAUGAUGACUCACUUAACGCUCCUGCACGGGCAGCCCAGUGCAUGUGCUCUUGAACGAGCAGCAGCGUGCAUGCGCUCCUGAGCGGCAGCCCAAUGCAAAAGCGUCUUGCUGAU
rnacentral:lncRNA from 1 species